GUCUGCUGAAGUAAAAUAUGGAACGCUUCAUGAAUUUGCGUGUCAUCCUCGCGCAGGGGCCAUGCUCAUCUUCCCUGUAUCAUUUUAUCGAUAAUUUUAGUA